rnacentral:lncRNA from 1 species
CGCACAUUUUCUGACCCUAAGGGAGAUAGGAGCAACAUAAGUCUAUCCCUUUGAUAUUGACUUUUAUAUCUGUAAAAUGAGUGAAUAAUGACUCAUUCAAGUAGCAGUUAAUCAAUGUGAGAUGUGGAUGCGUCUAUGUGAGCAUGUGUAUGUGUUUUGUUAUGAGUGUUUGUGUUAAUGUAGGAGUGAACAUUGUGUUAAUGUAAGUACUGAUGAUGUAGCUGAAAUUGUGUUUGCCUGCAUGUGACUGUGAACGACUGUACUGUAUGUCUAAGCUCUGUGUGUAUAUUAACGUCUGUCUGGCGUUCUCUCUCAGACUAGAGUUUACGGUGGGCAGCAGGGUAGUGAGCUGUUUCGUCUGAUAGAGAGGCACGACUUCAGAGACCUGAUCCUCAAGACCUUUUGACUUUGAGAUCGGCUACUGCAACCCCUACAGCAGGAACACCUGUGAACACAUCUACAGUCUACCUGACCUGGAGGCAGACAUGGAGGCACAUAUAUAUGCAUGCUCACUAGGGAUGCAACGGUACACAGUAUGUUGUCAAACGGUUCGGUACGCCCCCUAUGGUUCAAUACGCACAUGUGAACCGCGGAAUUACGAUAUGCCUGUCAUUUUCCUAUAAUUACCAAAAUGUGUUUAUUGCGUUGCAGACUACCCGCACGUUGUACAUUCAAAUCCACAUAACUAGACUUGCAGCUUGUGAACAGGCUUGGCAGGCAACUGCUUGGGACACCAAGCCGUUAUGGGGCUCCUGAGGGCUGACAAACUUUAAUCCACAGCAAUGUCUCAAAAUGUGGCAACCCCCCAUAAUUAAACAACCAAUGGACGAUUUGCAAUGACAUCUCAGUAAGAAACCUCCCUAAAUGGGCCCCAUGAAGAAAUGGGAAACUAAAAACGAAUAUUCUCUCAGCUACAAGGUGAUAAUGUUGAGCGCUAGCGAGACCGAGAGAAGUAAAUUUGAAGAAGCACUGUCGUCUUUCAAAUCCGCUGUGUGGGAACAUUUUGGAUUCAGCGUUCAAUACGAUGACGAGGGUGGAGCUGGAGCAAGGGGAGUCCACUCGUUAGCGAAAACACAACAAUCUCUCGCUGCUGCCUUCCAACAACAAAACAUAAAGAAAUAACAAAAGCAGUCCAGUCACGCUGCCAUUUUCUGAAUGGAAAGUUUUAUUUGUCUAUAGGAAAAAUAAAGAGUUCAUUGUUUAAAGGGUGAUGUGUUCUUUUUUCUUAAAUAUAAAGAUACCGUACCGUUACCGUGGCCCACAAAUCGUGAUACAUACCGAACCGUGAGCCCACUGUACUGUUGCAUCCCUAAUGCACACACACAUACACACUGCUGUGCUCUAGAGUCAGUGGCAUAGGAGGUCGUUUUUUUUAUCCCUAAACAUAGCACACCAAACCAUCAAGUCACCUGCUCGAGAGUUCAGUAAGGUACAGUACAUGGAAAUCAAAUUAUAGGCAUAAAGGUGGUUGAUUCUUAUUCCAAUUAAAAUUUUCCAUUUGUGUUCUAGAAUAAGAUAUUAAAUACAAACACACAUGCAGACUGGAGCUUCAUGAAAUGUGUUUCCAUGGCCGAUUUGCCGCACACAAGCCUAACAUCACCAUGCGCAAUGCCAAGCGUCGGCUGAAGUGGUGUAAACUCACUGCCAUUGGACUAUGUAGCAAUGGAAACAAGUUCUCUGGAGUGAUGAAUCACGCUUCACCAUCUGGCAGUCCGACAGACAAAUCUGGGUUUGGUAUUUUAUUAGGAUCCCCAUCAGCAGCUACUCUUCCUGGGGUUCACAUAAAACAUAAUACAGAAUGACAUAAUACAAAACAUGAAUAGACAAGAACAGCUCAAGGACAGAACUACAUAAAAAAAAUGUAAAGGCACACAGCCUACAUAUCAAUGCAUACACAGAAACUAUUUUGGUCAAAUAGUGGAGAGGCGUUUUGCCAUGAUGUGUUGCUUUAUCUGUUUUUUUUUAAACCAAAUUUGCUGUUUAUUUGAGCAACAUGAGAUGCCAGGAGAACGCUACCUGCCCGAAUGCAUAGUUGCAACUGUAAAGUUUGGUGGAGGAGGAAUAAUGGUCUUGGGCUGUUUUCAUGGUUCGGGCUCGGGCCCUUAGUUCCAGUAAAGGGAAAUCUUAACGCUACAGCGUACAAUGACAUUCUAGACGAUUCUGUGAU